AGAGAACAGCCAGGUUAACCCAUACGGUGGCCCCACACUAAGUUGUCUCCCACACCGUGUAGGGAUGGCUCAGUGCACAGGGAGCAUGGUGGGGUUUGGGCUUGAUGGCUUUGAAGCCUCUGCUAGACUGGGAGGCACACAGUUUGGUACCAUGUCUGGAUGCAACGUCAUGUUCCUGAGGCAGGAUGGUGCUUGUGUACCGAAGACAGUCUUGCUGGCUGCGGUGAAGGACAGAGCUCUCGGUGGAUCCAGUGGGAACCAAAGCCUGCUGUAACCCUCCAAUAGUAACAGCCAUCCGCUCAACCUCUGGGCCCAGGCACGCCUCACAGGAGCUCUCUACGGGCACUGUCUCAUCCAUAAUGAAUUAGGUAUCAGUGUCUGGUUUUUAGAGAUUCGGAAACUGAGGCCAGAGCAUUCUAAUGUCCUAAGCACAUUCAUGGUGAGUAGGAGCAGAGCUGGCUUCCACCUGCAGGGUCUGAGUCUAGGGUCAGUGCUCAUAGCCACGAUUCUCGUAGGCUACCCAGGCCCACUGUCUCCUUGAGCACCCAUGUGCCCCAUGCAGCAUGUAACUUGUAGGAAAUGAAGGCGUUUGCCAGCCUUUGCCUGUGUCCAGUGUGAACUCAUCUCCUAUUUAGCACAAAGUUAUUACAUUAGAGUUA
rnacentral:lncRNA from 1 species